AGUUCCGGGGGUCAACGUCCGCCAGCGCGAUGCGCCCGCGGGCGCGAUUUGC
rnacentral:sRNA from 1 species